UGUUGUCAGAGGAAAACGUAUUUAAAUGACAGAGAUACAGUUCCUGACACCUGGUAUCCGCUGUGUCCUGUUUCCACUGGUUUUCAUGGACCUUGUCCUGAAUUAAUGAAAUGGGAAUCCCAGUUCACUCUAUGAAAAGGCCACAAAGAAACUUCUUGACGCCGAGUGAGUCUACAGCUGUGUCUUUGUUCUCGGUGGAGCUAAAGACCACAUUAAUCAGAAACUUCGCUGACCUUGUCUUUACUACCUGAAGACUGAAAGACAAAAGCGACACAGUCUGGCCACAUUUAAAAAUUCAAUUAAAAAAUGCCUGCUGCCGGGGGAUAAACAUUAUGGUAGGCCUCAGUCUGGUGAGAUAUAACUGUGAUAAAGGCAAUGCCUUUUUCUCCCUCUGUUUUUACUUUUUGUCCCCAAAGAGAAUAAAGCCUCGCUUCUGUUUCUCCUUCUGGUUA